AGAGUUUGAUCCUGGCUCAGAACGAACGCUGGCGGCGUGCCUAACACAUGCAAGUCGAACGAGAAAUCGGGCACUCAGGCAACUGAGUGCCGGAGAGUAAAGUGGCGCACGGGUGAGUAACACGUGGGUAACCUACCCCCGAAUCUGGGAUAACUUCGCGAAAGCGUUGCUAAUACCGGAUAUUGUCCUAUUGGUUGUGACCUUUGGGAUGAAAGGCAACCUCUUCAUGAAAGUUGUCGUUCAGGGAUGGGCCCGCGUACCAUUAGCUUGUUGGUGGGGUAACGGCCCACCAAGGCUACGAUGGUUAGCUGGUCUGAGAGGAUGAUCAGCCACACUGGAACUGAAACACGGUCCAGACUCCUACGGGAGGCAGCAGUGAGGAAUUUUGCGCAAUGGGGGAAACCCUGACGCAGCAACGCCGCGUGAGUGAAGAAGGCUUUCGGGUCGUAAAGCUCUGUCAAGUGGGAAAAAAGUCUGAUGAUUAAUAGUUGUCAGAUCUGAUGGUACCACUGGAGGAAGCACCGGCUAACUCCGUGCCAGCAGCCGCGGUAAUACGGAGGGUGCAAGCGUUGUUCGGAAUUACUGGGCGUAAAGGGCGUGCAGGCGGGUUGGUAAGUCAGAUGUGAAAGCCCUGGGCUCAACCCAGGAAGUGCAUUUGAAACUGCCAUCCUAGAGUAUGGGAGAGGAGAGUGGAAUUCCCAAUGUAGAGGUGAAAUUCGUAGAUAUUGGGAGGAACACCCGUGGCGAAGGCGACUCUCUGGACCAAUACUGACGCUGAGACGCGAAAGCGUGGGGAGCAAACAGGAUUAGAUACCCUGGUAGUCCACGCCGUAAACGAUGAGAA
rnacentral:rRNA from 1 species